rnacentral:rRNA from 1 species
GACGAACGCUGGCGGCAUGCCUAACACAUGCAAGUCGAACGGAGUUACUUAACUAGAUCCCUUCGGGGUGACGGUUACUUAACUUAGUGGCGGACGGGUGAGUAACGCGUGAGGAACCUGCCUUUCAGAGGGGGAUAACAGUUGGAAACGACUGCUAAUACCGCAUAAUGUUAUUUGGGGGCAUCCCUGAAUAACCAAAGAUUUAUUGCUGAAAGAUGGGCUCGCGUCUGAUUAGAUAGUUGGUGGGUAACGGCCUACCAAGUCGACGAUCAGUAGCCGGACUGAGAGGUUGAACGGCCACAUUGGGACUGAGACACGGCCCAGACUCCUACGGGAGGCAGCAGUGGGGGAUAUUGGACAAUGGGGGCAACCCUUAUCCAGCGACGCCGCGUAAGGGAAGAAGGUUUCGGAUUGUAAACCUCUGUCAGUGGGGACGAUAAUGACGGUACCCACGGAGGAAGCCACGGCUAACUACGUG